ensembl:lncRNA
GCCCCCCCUACGCCCCUCCCCCUUGCUCCGAAGCGGGAUAUGUGCUGUCCGAAAGACUCACACAAAAGUAUGUUUAUUUGUCAAGCUGAUAUUGGCGUAUUCUCGUUUGUAUUUUGCUCGUUGUUACUGAGCAUGGCAGAUACAAUCCAACAACUGCCAUUCAAUCAACGCGAUCUGAGAGGAAGGGAGGAGGAAAACGGUGGUGGCAGGUGGUCUUCUCACCUGAGCAUGGAAGAGCCGCUCAAAAUCUUCUCUGAAACCAUGACCCUGUACAAGCACGAGGACCAUCUCUCCGUCGACGAGCAGCGGCGAAACCAUCCUGGUACACAUGCACACAGUCACGUGCACACACAUGGUCACGUGCACAGCGCAGCCCGCCUGCCACAGGGCAACAGCAUCGAGGGGGGGGGAGGAGGUGCGCGUGCCUUCGCCCUGACUCACCGCCUCCUCUCAUCUCAUAUUUUAUUUAU